rnacentral:rRNA from 1 species
GGGGAAUAUUGCACAAUGGGCGGAAGCCUGAUGCAGCGACGCCGCGUGGGGGAUGACGGCCUUCGGGUUGUAAACUCCUUUCACCAUCGACGAAGGGUUUCUGACGGUAGAUGGAGAAGAAGCACCGGCUAACUACGUGCCAGCAGCCGCGGUAAUACGUAGGGUGCGAGCGUUGUCCGGAAUUACUGGGCGUAAAGAGCUCGUAGGUGGUUUGUCGCGUCGUCUGUGAAAUUCCGGGGCUUAACUCCGGGCGUGCAGGCGAUACGGGCAUAACUUGAGUACUGUAGGGGAGACUGGAAUUCCUGGUGUAGCGGUGAAAUGCGCAGAUAUCAGGAGGAACACCGGUGGCGAAGGCGGGUCUCUGGGCAGUAACUGACGCUGAGGAGCGAAAGCAUGGGGAGCGAACA